rnacentral:rRNA from 1 species
AGUGAACGCUGGCGGUAGGCCUAACACAUGCAAGUCGAACGGCAGCACAGUAAGAGCUUGCUCUUACGGGUGGCGAGUGGCGGACGGGUGAGGAAUACAUCGGAAUCUACUUUUUCGUGGGGGAUAACGUAGGGAAACUUACGCUAAUACCGCAUACGACCUACGGGUGAAAGCAGGGGAUCUUCGGACCUUGCGCGAUUGAAUGAGCUGAUGUCGGAUUAGCUAGUUGGCGGGGUAAAGGCCCACCAAGGCGACGAUCCGUAGCUGGUCUGAGAGGAUGAUCAGCCACACUGGAACUGAGACACGGUCCAGACUCCUACGGGAGGCAGCAGUGGGGAAUAUUGGACAAUGGGCGCAAGCCUGAUCCAGCCAUACCGCGUGGGUGAAGAGGGCCUUCGGGUUGUAAAGCCCUUUUGUUGGGAAAGAAAAGCAGCAGGUUAAUACCCCGCUGUUCUGACGGUACCCAAAGAAUAAGCACCGGCUAACUUCGUG